rnacentral:rRNA from 1 species
CGAACCAGGAGACGUCGGCGAGGGCCCUGGAAAGAGUUAUCUUUCUUUCUUACAGUCUGUCACCCUGAAAUCGAUUUGUUCGGAGAUAGGGUUCCAUGGCUGGUAGAGCUCGGCACUUCUGCCGAGUCCGGUGCGUCCUCGACGGCCCUUAGAAAUCCUGGGGAGCAAACAUUUCACGCCUGGUCGUACUGAUAACCGCAGCGUCGACGCGGC